UACGUAGGGCGCAAGCGUUGUCCGGAAUUAUUGGGCGUAAAGGGCUCGUAGGCGGUUUGUCGCGUCGGGAGUGAAAGACCCCGGCUCAACUGGGGAGUGUCGUGCGAUACGGGCGAACUGGAGGCCAGUAGGGGGAGUGCGGAAUUCCGGGUGUAGUGGUGGAAUGCGUAGAGAGCCGGAGGAACACCAGCGGCGAAGGCG
rnacentral:rRNA from 1 species